UACAGAGGUCUCAAGCGUUGUUCGGGUUCAUUGGGCGUAAAGGGUGCGUAGGCGGCGCAGUAAGUCGGGUGUGAAAUCUCGGGGCUUAACUCCGAAACUGCAUUCGAUACUGCCGUGCUUGAGGACUGGAGAGGAGACUGGAAUUUACGGUGUAGCGGUGAAAUGCGUAGAUAUCGUAAGGAAGACCAGUGGCGAAGGCGGGUCUCUGGACAGUUCCUGACGCUGAGGCACGAAGGUCAGGGGAGCAAACGGG
rnacentral:rRNA from 1 species